rnacentral:rRNA from 1 species
UGGGGAAUAUUGCACAAUGGGGGAAACCCUGAUGCAGCGACGCCGCGUGAGUGAAGAAGUAUUUCGGUAUGUAAAGCUCUAUCAGCAGGGAAGAAAAUGACGGUACCUGACUAAGAAGCCCCGGCUAACUACGUGCCAGCAGCCGCGGUAAUACGUAGGGGGCAAGCGUUAUCCGGAUUUACUGGGUGUAAAGGGAGCGUAGGUGGCAUGGUAAGCCAGAAGUGAAAACCCAGGGCUCAACUCUGUGGAUUGCUUUUGGAACUAUCAAGCUAGAGUGCUGGAGGGGUAAGCGGAAUUCCUAGU